rnacentral:rRNA from 1 species
AGUGAACGCUGGCGGUAGGCCUAACACAUGCAAGUCGAACGGCAGCACAGUAAGAGCUUGCUCUUACGGGUGGCGAGUGGCGGACGGGUGAGGAAUACAUCGGAAUCUACUUUUUCGUGGGGGAUAACGUAGGGAAACUUACGCUAAUACCGCAUACGACCUACGGGUGAAAGUAGGGGAUCUUCGGACCUUGCGCGAUUGAAUGAGCCGAUGUCGGAUUAGCUAGUUGGCGGGGUAAAGGCCCACCAAGGCGACGAUCCGUAGCUGGUCUGAGAGGAUGAUCAGCCACACUGGAACUGAGACACGGUCCAGACUCCUACGGGAGGCAGCAGUGGGGAAUAUUGGACAAUGGGCGCAAGCCUGAUCCAGCCAUACCGCGUGGGUGAAGAAGGCCCUCGGGUUGUAAAGCCCUUUUGUUGGGAAAGAAAAGCAGCAGGUUAAUACCCCGCUGUUCUGACGGUACCCAAAGAAUAAGCACCGGCUAACUUCGUG